UACGGAGGGUGCGAGCGUUGUCCGGAAUCACUGGGCGUAAAGGGCGCGUAGGUGGCGCGGGAAGUCAACGGUGAAAGUUCGGGGCUCAACCCUGAAUCGGCCGUCGAUACACCCGGGCUCGAGCACUGUAGAGGCAGAUGGAAUUCCGGGUGUAGCGGUGGAAUGCGUAGAGAUCCGGAAGAACACCGGUGGCGAAGGCGGUCUGCUGGGCAGUUGCUGACACUGAGGCGCGACAGCGUGGGGAGCAAGCAGG
rnacentral:rRNA from 1 species